CCCAACCAAGGACACUCACAAACCUGACCUGAUGACAACAUACCUCAAAAAUCCUAAGUGUACGUAUAUCUUCUGGGCUGGUGAACAUCGUCUCUGACUCCUCAAGUUUUAUGCACAGUAGUAGAGGUUAGAAGAGGAAGCUCAAUUUGAAUCCCAGAUGAUACGUUUAAAUUGCAGAGUAAAGGUCUUUCUCUCUGGGAAGGAGAGUGACAGGUGUACCAGCCAGUAUAUGUAAGUUGCAAGUCUCAUAAUUCGGGGUUCCUCCCUGGUGAUGCAAGCCCACUGCAUAUGUCGGUAAGCAUUUGGCUCUCACUGCACCAGUUUGCGGGGAUUGGGGAACAGGAAACUGCUGCUGAGAUGCUGCUUUGUCUACUCUUUUCCUGUAAGUAAUAAACAGUCUGUGUCUCUUACACAGAGCUUUGUUUUCUCUUGUCAGCACAUGUAUAUAAAACGAUGACAAGCUAACCUGUUAUAUCACACAUGGAGGUAAUCACAGUUCUGUUGUAGUUUCAGACAACAUGAAGGAAGCCAGACAUUAAUAGAGAAAACUUUGUAUGAUUUCUAUUACAUUCAGGAAAAAGCAAAACUAAUCUUCAGUGAUAGAAAUCAGAGUUGUGUUUUUCUCUGGGGUAUAUGAACUGAAAAGAGAAGUGCAGAAGUCUUCUAGAGUGUUUAAAAUGAUCUAUACAUUGCUUUAGAUGGUGGUUACAUGAAUACAAAUAUUCAGUUAUCACCUAAGAUUUGUGUAAUGUACUGCAUGUAUGCUACACCUCAAUAAAAAUAUUCCAUAAUAGGAAGGCCAACAGAAAAAUGCCCUUUAAAUUUCAGCAAGUUGAGAAGUUAAGUUUAAGAAAAGAGCAUAUGUCUCCAAAAGCUUUUUAAGAGGUACUUGAACUUCUGUGACCUAUUUUCACUGUUACAUAGAAUCAGAGUGUGCCGUAAAUCACCUAGUUAAUUAUUCCUGCUGCCAGAGCUGGGAAACCUGGAAGGCUUGUAUAAUGGCUAAUUUUAUAUGUGUUGACAUGGCUAGGCCAUGGGUUGCCCAGAUAUUUGACAAGAUCAAACACUAUUCUGGGUGUUUCUGUGGGAUGUUUCUGGAUGAGAUUAACGUUUAAGGUGAUGGACUUUGAGUAAAGCAGAAAAUCCUCUUUAAUGUAGUGGGCCUCAUCCAAUCAGCCAAAGGCCUGAAUCAAACAAAAAGAUCAGCUUCCCUUGAGCAAGAGAGAAUUCAGCAGACUGCCUUCAGCCUUCAUUGGCAACAUCAGCAAUUCCUGAUUCCAUAGCAGAUGGCCUCAGACUCGAACUCGAACAUCAGCAUCAGCUCUCCUGAGUCUCCAGCCUGCCAGCCUAUACCCUGCAGAUUCCGGACUUGCUGGCCUCCAUAAUAAUGUGUCAACAAUUUUAGCAUUGCAGAAGACCAUGGAGACAACUUUUUUAUUUCUCCAUCACACAUGCACUGAAGAUACAAAAAUGAGUUUUUCUUUCCUAUGGCCUUGGACUAGCUAUAUACUAUAGUAAUUAGCAAGCAGGCUCUGAAUCACACAAGCCCCUCCCACUGACUCUUGUACUUUUUAGCUAUAAGAACCUAAGCAUGAACUUCGCAGAGCUCCAGUGCUUCUGUUUUGAAAAGAGAUAAUAUUUCCUAUGGGAUAGGGUUGUCUGGGGGUACUAAAUGAGAAAUACAUACAAGGUACUUAAUGGAAGGUGAGGCAUGUAGGACUCAAUAGAGGUAGCUAUUAAAUAGUAUGUAAGUAACAAAUCCUGAUAAUGUUCAAUUCUGAAUAAAACUUAACUAGGUA